CCUGGUUUACGUACGUAUAAAAAGGGUCAUUGGAAAGGGAGAUUUUGGAGACUUUGAUGCAGAGACAGGGACGUGACUCUCUGCCGGAGGCGAACUGCAGGCACAGCCUUUGCUGCGUCCUGGGGUAGGACGCUCCCCGUUGCCUCCCUGAUCAGACCUUUUGGCCGUUCUCCAGGCUCCCCGGUCUAUUAGGAUACAAUUCCUUGUCCUCAUGAGGCACUCUCUCCGGACCAUUCACCACUCUGUCUUGUCAGCCUCCUUCCCAAAAUGUGUCACCUGGAAGACUGGAAUGAGCAGAGCUAAGAAAAGGGCAUCAGAAGAUCAGCACACCCAGUGACUACAGGGAUGCAGAGGGAAGAACGUCAGAGGCACUGGCACUGUAUCAGGCCGUCUCUGUUCCAGAAAUAGAUAACGAAACACACUUUCUUCCUAGAGGAGUGUUGGACUGAACAAGGCUGGGAAGGAAAUGAAGGCUGGUCAGCCUGGGCCCCUCCAGAGACACAUUUAAGUGAACACAAAAUAUCCACAGGACAACUUUAUUCCAACAGACACAGGUUGUGCUGUUAACAUUCAUGAAAACCUCCAAAUCCUUGCUAACUGCUAAAACUGCUGCGGCUUCAGAGAGCAUUUGUCAGCCCCCG